GAUGAACGCUGGCGGCGUGCUUAACACAUGCAAGUCGAACGGAAAGGCUCCUGCUUGCAGGGGUACUCGAGUGGCGAACGGGUGAGUAACACGUGGGUGAUCUGCCCUGCACUUCGGGAUAAGCCUGGGAAACUGGGUCUAAUACCGGAUAGGACGAUGGUUUGGAUGCCAUUGUGGAAAGUUUUUCGGUGUGGGAUGAGCUCGCGGCCUAUCAGCUUGUUGGUGGGGUAAUGGCCUACCAAGGCGUCGACGGGUAGCCGGCCUGAGAGGGUGUACGGCCACAUUGGGACUGAGAGACGGCACAGACACCAACGUGAGGCAGCAGUGGGGAAUAUUGCACAAGGGGCGCAAGACUGAUGCAGCGACGCCGCGUGGGGGAUGACGGCCUUCGGGUUGUAAACGCCGUUCGCUAGGGACGAAGCGUUUUGUGACGGUACCUGGAGAAGAAGCACCGGCUAACUACGUG
rnacentral:rRNA from 1 species